rnacentral:rRNA from 1 species
ACGGAGGGUGCAAACGUUGUUCGGAAUCACUGGGCAUAAAGCGCACGCAGGCGGCCAACUAAGUCAGAUGUGAAAGCCCACGGCUCAACCGUGGAACUGCAUUUGAUACUGGUUGGCUAGAGUACGGUUGGGGUGAGUGGAACUCCUGGUGGAGCGGUGAAAUGCGUAGAUAUCAGGAGGAACACCAGUGGCGAAAGCGGCUCACUGGACCGUAACUGACGCUGAGGUGCGAAAGCUAGGGUAGCGAACGGG